rnacentral:tRNA from 1 species
GCGGACGUGGCGGAAUGGUAGACGCAUGGGACUUAAAAUCCCUUGAUCUUCGAUCGUGCGGGUUCGAGUCCCGCCGUCCGUA